ensembl:snRNA U6 U6 spliceosomal RNA
GUCAUUGAUCAAUUUCUCACUUUGGAAUUGGAAUGAUAAGGAGAAGCUUAGCAUGACCCUUGGAUAAGGAUCACAUGCAAAUUCAUGAAGGGCUUCCUAUUUCU